rnacentral:rRNA from 1 species
CACGGAGUUAGCCGAUCCUUAUUCUUACGAUACCGUCAAGACAUUACACGUAAUGUUGUUUCUUACUCGUACAAAAGCAGUUUACAAUCCAUAGGACCGUCAUCCUGCACGCGGCAUGGCUGGUUCAGACUUGCGUCCAUUGACCCAAUAUUCCUCACUGCUGCCUCCCGUAGGAGUCUGGUCCGUGUCUCAGUACCAGUGUGGGGGAUCUCCCUCUCAGGACCCCUACCCAUCGUUGCCUUGGUAAGCCGUUACCUUACCAACUAGCUAAUGGGACGCAUGCUCAUCUUUCACCGUUUGUGACUUUAAUUAUAAUAUGAUGCCAUACUAUAAUACUAUGAGGUAUUAAUCCAAAUUUCUCUGGGCUAUCCCUCUGUGAAACGGUAGAUUGCAUACGCGUUACGCACCCGUGCGCCGGUCUCUUGGUCCGUAAACCCAAUACCCCCUCGACUUGCAUGUGUUAAGCCUGCCGCUAGCGUUCAUCCUGAGCCAGGAUCAAAC